rnacentral:lncRNA from 1 species
AGAGAACAAAACACGCGACAGGCGGGAACCCGGACCGCUCGUACAGACGAGAUGGCAGCCAGGCCAUUGAGUCUUUCCAGCACCAUUUGUCUUCCCUUUUCCUGAGGUGUAUCAUUGAGAGGAUCUGACAGGUACUGAAAUAUUAAUUUUUAUCUAAUUAUAUCUACUUUGCUGUCACUUUUGAGAGAUAUUUGUCUUUCAUAUGGAAUUCUAGAAACUGGAGGUUUAUUUUUUUUAAUUUUUUAUUUAUUUUUUGCCUUUUUUCCAUUUCUUGGGCUGCUCCCCCGGCAUAUACACGUUCCCAGACUAGGGGUCGAAUAGAAGCUGCAGUUGCCUGCCUAUGCCAGAGCCACAGCAACGUGGGAUCCAAGCCGCCUCUGCAACCUACACCACAGCUCACGGCAACACCAGAUCCUUAAACGAAUGAGCAAGGCCAGGGACCGAACCUGAAACCUCAUGGUCCCUAGGAUUCGUUAACCACUGAGCCACGAUGGGAACUCCUGGAGGUUUACCUUAAACAUAAUUAACUUAUUAUCCAGUUUUGUAUUCAGAGAACACUGAAGAGUUCAGAUUUGACCAAGAUGUUGAUGUUAACCCUGAAAU